UUCUCCGGUCCUUCUCUUCCAUUUUCUCUCUCUCUCUCUCUCUUAAGGGAUUUUCUUCACUUUCCUCCAUCAAAACCAACGAACAGUUCUCUUUGUUAUGGCCGCCUGAGCUCUCUCUCCCAUCGCCUCGUUCCCCUCUUCGUAUCUUCGCAUCCCCAUCUAUUUCUCGCCUCUCUCCUUAUUUAUCUUCGAUUUUUUGAAGCAGGAGGCGAGAUUUCAAAUAUGGAAAAGAAUGAAGAUACCGGCAGCCCUGGUUGGAGUACUUCAAUCUUUGUGCAGACAACAGAAGAUGUUGCAAAAGCUGUUGCUGCUGCAGCUGCCACAACUGUUCAUUCACCCCGACCAUCUGUUGUUUUUUCGUCAAAAGAUGACGGAAACAAUAGUCCACUACAGAAACUUCAAACCCAAGUUUCUAAAGUUCUAAAAGGCUUCUCUCACCCGCCUGAAGUGAAAGGUAAAAUGUACAAUCCAGAAGUACUAACAAGCCAAAAGCGUCAAUGGGCAAGAUUUCAAAUGCAGUCUCUGGAUCAUAGGCCCUUGAAAGAGCCAUCGAGGCUUUUUGAGAGCAUGGUAGUUGUUGGGCUCCAUCCUAAUUGUGACAUUCAGGCACUUAAAAAGCAGUACUUUGUGCGGAAGUCCGAAAGUUCAGCUAAAUUAAGAAGUCCGUUCAGUCAACAUCAAUCACGUGUGGAACCUAACGUUGAACCACAGGUCUUAUUUGUUUACCCUCCUGAAAAGCAGCUGCCUCUCAAGUAUAAGGAUCUUCUUUCUUUCUGCUUUCCUGGAGGCCUUGAGGUUCAUGCUAUUGAGAAAACUCCUUCAAUGAGUGAAUUGAAUGAAAUACUUCUUGGGCAGGAACACCUGAAACAAAGUGAUCUGUCAUUUGUAUUCCGGUUGCAGGUUGCUGACAAUUCAACGUUGUAUGGUUGCUGUGUGUUGGUUGACGAAAUAGUUCAAAAACCAUCUGGAUUGAUUUCAAUGAUUUCAGAAGGACAAACUUUACGCUCAGGUUUGAGCCGCCAUAUAUUGACAACACGUCGUUGCUAUUGCAUUCUUUCCAGGCUUCCAUUUUUUGAUCUGCAUUUCGGCGUAUUGAAAAGCAUUUUUACUGAAGAAAGGUUGGAACGCUUGACGAAAGGUGUUAGUGAUUUAGAUUUGCUAGCAGCUGAAGGACAUGACAAGGAAGAAAAUGUAGAAGAAAAUACCAAUGGUAAUUCAUUGGAACAUAACACAGUCAACAUGCCAAAUGGAACUGUUGGUCCUUCUAAGUUAAGCAUGAGCGAUUCUGUGGCUCAUAAAGUGAUGGAUGAUGAAUGUCAUGUGGAGAAACAAAUUCUCAAGGAUAACAUGCAUCUGAAUAAAGGUACAAGUGACAGUACUGUUUUACCAGUUGAUCCUGCAAUGGAGAAGCUUCCAGAUAAAAAAGAUUAUGGAGUUACAACUGGAACCUCUGAAGCUUGUGAUGCUGAUGCCGAUAUUGUAACAAACAACCAACUGGUUCAAAGACGUUUACCAAAUGCUGUUUUGCCCCUUCUGCGGUAUCAACAGUGUGAAAGCUCUGACUCUUCCCCAAGUUUUUGGAGCUCUCCUAAUGAUGAUAGAAUUUUUAGGAGUGAUGCUGACGAAGCAGAGAUAGAAGAUGCAUCUUCUUCAGGCCGGGAGUAUUCCAGUGACCAUAGUGAUAUUCUUGAAUGGGCUAGGGCUAACAACCAUGGGUCCUUGCAAAUAAUAUGUGAGUAUCACCGGUUAAAUUUCCCUGCAAGGGGUUCAACAGUUACCUUCCAUCCUCUGGAGCACCUGCAUCCUUUGGAAUUUCAUAGACCUGAUGAAACAGUUCUUCAUGUUGCUGGAUCAACAAUUGAUUUGAAGUCAUGCAGCAGUAGUUUGGAAUUAGCAGAGGCAUACCAUGAACUUGUGGCAGAGGAGGAGGCAACUGCCUUGUCUGUAUGGGCUGUUGCAUGCCUAUGUGGUUCCUUGCGACUUGAGAAUGUGCUAACAUUGUUUGCUGGUGCUUUGCUGGAGAAGCAAAUUGUGAUUAUUUCUUCUAAUUUGGGCAUAUUGUCUGCUUUAGUCCUGUCAAUAAUCCCACUGAUUCGUCCUUAUCGGUGGCAAAGCUUAUUAAUGCCGGUUUUGCCAAAUGACAUGUUGGACUUUUUGGAUGCCCCAGUUCCAUACAUAGUUGGUGUAAAGAACAAAACCACUGAAGUGCAGUCAAAGAUAAUGAAUGUUAUUCUCAUUGAUACGACAAAGAAUCAGCAACAGGUGAAGUCACCGACAAUGCCUCAGCUACCCCAACAGAAGGAGUUGUACUCAUCCUUAAGUCCUUAUUAUGCAAAACUUGUGGGAGAGAGUUUCUUGGGUAAAAAACGGCCUGUGUAUGAAUCCACUGAUGUGCAGGUUGAAGCUGCCAAGGGUUUCCUGAGAGUAUUACGAUCUUACUUGGAUUCUCUUUGCUCUAACCUCCGUUCACACACAAUUACAAAUGUUCAGUCCAAUGAUGAUAAGGGCCGAGGUACGAGACAGAUGAUUGGCAUUGGGCAUGAGUCGCAAGGACUUUAUUAUCUCGACAAGCCAUCUUCCCCAACAACUUGCAUUUCUAUUGAAUUUCCAACUCUUCUUCAUAAUCGUUUAGGACAUCCGAGUCUAUCCAAAUUACAAAAGAUGGUCCCGCAUCUUUCUAAUGUUUCCACUUUAAAUUGUGAGUCGUGUCAGCUUGGAAAACAGUCUCGUACUUCGUUUUCAAAGCGUGUCAAUAAUCGGGCUACGUUCCCUUUUGAACUUGUCUAUAGUGAUGUUUGGGGUCCUUGUCAUAUUCCCUCUGUUUUAGGUUUUUGGUGCUUUGUCACUUUCAUUGACGAUUACUCUUGAUGUACUUGGGUGUUCUUAUUGAAAAAUCGUUCAGAGUUAUUUACUACCUCUAAGGACUUCUAUGUUGAAAUUCAAACUCAAUUUAAUGUUUCUAUCCGUGCCUUCCACAGUGACAAUGCUAGAGAAUAUUUCCUAGCUCCUUUCACUACUUUCAUGGCUUUUAAGGGUAUUUUACAUCAAUCCUCCUAUGCCUAUACACCUCAGUAAAAUGAAGUUGCUGAGUAAAAAUCGUCAUUUGAUUGAAACCACUCACUCUUUUUCUGCAUAGUCAUGUUCUUUCCCAUUCUUGGGCUGAUGCCGUUCUCACUGCAUGUUAUCUUAUUAAUCAAAUGCCUUCCUCUGUCUUACAACAUGAGGUCCCUCACUCUAUCCUUUUCCCUACCCAGAGUCUUUAUCUCCUUCUAUUUCGUGUUUUUGGGUGCACUUGUUUUGUUCAUGACAUGACCCCUAGCCGUCCCAAACUUUUAGUUAGGGCUAUCGAGUGCAUUUUCCUUGGUUAAUCACGACUUCAAAAAGGCUAUCGGUGUUACUCUCCUGAUCAGCAACGUUAUUUCAUCUAUGCUAAUAUUACCUUUUUUGAGACAUCUCAUUUCUUUCUCUCCUCCCCUGUUGAGAGUCGUCCAGUUUCUGAGAUUCUUCCCACUCCUUACCUUUGUUCUCCCUUCUUCGAUAUUGCACCUGUUGUCCCUGAAUGUCCCCUUCGGGUUUAUCAGCACCGUCCACAUCAUCCUACGGCUGCUGACAAAGACCUUGCUAACUCACCUUGUGCUCCGUCAUCCUCACCUACCUCAGCCUAGCUGGUUCCUUCUGAGCCAGUUGUUGAACUUUCUCCUGAGCCCAUUGCCACUCGAAAGGUGUCAUUGCUUUUGAAGGAGAGUUUCAUCGAGUCAUUUCCCAGUCGUGACCGGCCGUUUAUGAAG